CACCAGACUCCUACGGGAGGCAGCAGUGGGGGAUAUUGCACAAUGGGGGGAACCCUGAUGCAGCGACGCCGCGUGGGUGAAGGAGUGCUUCGGCAUGUAAAGCCCUAUCGGCAGGGAAGAAGCAAGACGGUACCUGGGGAGGAAGCUCCGGCUAACUACGUGCCAGCAGCCGCGGUAAUACGUAGGGGGCAAGCGUUAUCCGGAUUCACUGGGUGUAAAGGGAGCGUAGACGGCCAUGCAAGCCUGGAGUGAAAGCCCGGGGCCCAACCCCGGGACUGCUCUGGGAACUGUGCGGCUGGAGUGCGGGAGGGGCAGGCGGAAUUCCUGGUGUAGCGGUGAAAUGCGUAGAUAUCAGGAGGAACACCGGCGGCGAAGGCGGCCUGCUGGACCGCGACUGACGUUGAGGCUCGAAAGCGUGGGGAGCGAACAGGAUUAGAUACCCUAGUA
rnacentral:rRNA from 1 species